rnacentral:rRNA from 1 species
GCAAGAUUAAAACUCAAAGGAAUAGACGGGGACCCGCACAAGUGGUGGAGCAUGUGGUUUAAUUCGAAGAUACGCGAAGAACCUUACCUAGCCUUGACAUUGAUAGAGUCUUCCAGAGAUGGAGGAGUGCCUUUCGGGGAACUUGAAAACAGGUGCUGCACGGCUGUCGUCAGCUCGUGUCGUGAGAUGUUGGGUUAAGUCCCGCAACGAGCGCAACCCUCGUCAUUAGUUACUAACAGUUCGGCUGAGGACUCUAAUGAGACUGCCUUCGUAAGGAGGAGGAAGGUGAGGACGACGUCAAGUCAUCAUGGCCCUUACGGCUAGGGCGACACACGUGCUACAAUGGUUAGGACAAUGAGAAGCGAUACCGCGAGGUGGAGCAAAUCUAUAAACCUAAUCUCAGUUCGGAUUGUAGUCUGCAACUCGACUACAUGAAGCUGGAAUCACUAGUAAUCGUAGAUCAGCCAUGCUACGGUGAAUACGUUCCCGGGUCUUGUACUCACCACCCGUCACACCAUGGGAGUUGAUUUCACCCGAAGCGGGGAAGCUAAACUGGCUACCCUCCACGGUGGAAUUAGCGACUGGGGUGAAGUCGUAACAAGGUA